AUACAUCAAGAAAAUUUAUAAGUGAUUUAAUAUAUAUGCUGGUUUUGUAUAUGUUUACGUUAUCGUUCAUGACUGAAACUGACGAAAUUGAUAAUUAUGAUCCUACCCUAAAUGGGUGGCAUAUAGUGAUAGGACCGUUCGUCCGUCCGUCUGACCGUCCGACCCUUCGGUUUACGAUCGAUGACUGAAGAAUUCUCAAAUUUAAUUGGCAGUUUGGUCGUGACAGGCAAAUGAACCCGAUUUACUUUGAAGUUAGUUACUAGGAGGUCAAGGUCAAAAUGAUGCCACUGAGAACAGAUUCUGCUAGCGCUUUGGGCUACGGUCGACAAACUUAAUAAAUAUGAUAAUUGCCAGUCUAUAGUAGAUGAUCCCUAUUUGUAGGUCUAGACCUUUUACUGAGCCCGAUACAAGAUGUAAUUUUAACACUUGGAUGCAACGUUAAUUCAAACAAACACUGCUUUUCGAAACAUAGUUAAGGAAUGUUUAAUAUCACUUCGGUCAUUAAAACACCGUAUGUUAUAGGCAGUAGAUACUUUUGGUUUACAUACCAAUAAGAAAAUGAAAUAGUUUUACAGGACGAAACAGAUGCAAAUUUUCACUUGCCAAAGUGUCUGUAAGACAUAUCUGAUAUUAGCAUAGAGCUAAGCAUUACAUCGACUUCGCUCAGAGCAAAAUCACUCAUAAUAUUGAUUAAGUCAUAAGUAGACAAUGAAGAGAAAUAGCACUAAUGGAACUCUACUAACGCAUAUUUGGUUGACAAUAUUAAUUUUAUAUACCACAAAUUGCUGAGCUGUAACGUGUGGUCCGAUCAACCCGAAAGUCUAGUUUGCACUAAUCAUCACCUAAGUUUUCAUUUUUCAAAUGAAAUCAUACUUACGCAGCAAAAAUCCGGAAAGUUAAACUUUGAUCAUCUCUUAUCUGCUGUGAAAAAUGACAGACUGACAAUAUCGCAGAACUGGGCAUUAUAUCGACAAAGCUCAAAAUCUCUAUUUGUCAUUGAAUAAGUCCCAAGUAGUCACAGAAUAGAAGUGUUUUGAUAUAGAAUUAUGCCGGCGUACAGUUUAACUCUACAUGGGGCACGGAUCGUCUAGUUUGAACCCUACAUGGGACACGGAUUGUCUAGUUCAAAUCCACGCUGGACAUAGAAUGUCUAGUUUGAACUCUACAUGAAACACAGAUUCAGCUUCAAGAAAGACAUAGCAUAGAGUGAGAUUAGAGAAUGACAGCUUUUGUAAUAAAUUCAUAUCAUGUAUCAUUGUAUUCAUCCGUUAAUAAAAAGUUUGGAUUAUCUAAUGCAACGUUGGUCGUGUUCUUAUUAUGAACCAAUUUAUUUUGAAUAUCAAUGUACUAAGGUUUUCAAGCCGAAAUAUCAUGGCAGAGAAACAUGUUUAUAAUUCUCACGUGCAUGAUCUGAAUCUUAAAAUAGAUGUUUACGUCUUAAACGAAUUAUUGCACAAAUGUGUAGUACGUGAUAUGGUACAAAUAUGAGCGCCUAAUAUUAUCUUUUGAGUUUCAAGGUUUCUCAAUUUUAAUGGCAUGAUCACUUCAAAUGCAUUUGUUUAGUAAGGUUAUAAGGUUGAUAAGCAGCUUUACAAAAUGGGACUUACAAGGAAGUUGUUGAGCAUUAACUAAAUAUAAUAAAUUAAAGUGUACAAGAUAAAAUCAAACUAUUACACAUAACGCAAUGUCCUUGACAUAGUAGCUAAACAAUAGUAAAUCAAUAAUCAAGAAGGGAGUAUUAAUUGCACCUAACUUUGCAAUAUCAUCUAGCGUCAGAUAUGCACAGGGGUUUUUUCAAGAGUAUUUUCGAUAUAACUGGCGUUUUCAUUUAUAUUUCUAGCUUUCUAACAGUAGCAUAUAAUUAUUGUUUGUAUAACAUGAAUCAAUUAGUUAAAGUUUGCGGUUGCAAUGAUCGAUGUUUAUUGUAAAAAGUUGUUUUUAUUUUUUCAUGUCUUGAAAUGGUCCCUAUUGGAAAAAUACUUAACUGCGAGCUCCUAUUUAUAGCAGUGUGGGUUAUCUUACAAUGUUGAUUAAUGAAAAGUUCAAUUGGCGUGCACUAAAACCCCGAUGUUUUGACACAGGUUGUCCCCGUCAACACAAAAGGGCGCUAGACGUAGAGAUAUUUACGACUGAUUUUCAUUGAUGGUUUUACUUCUAUGAACAGUAGUUGAAGUUUAUUGUCCUUUUUUAUUCGUAAUUGGUACCCACGUGUAGCUUUAUUUGUGAUAGCAAUAUGCAUGUAUAGGAUAUUUUUCAGCUUUAUAUUGAAAGUAAACCAAAUUAAGUGAAGUGAGACGAAAUUUGUGACUUAAAUUACCUGUUUAUAUUUAUCAAUUACAAAUUAUGGGCAGACGACAACAUAUAGGACGAAUCCACUCUUACUGAAUCAACUGAUCAGAUAGUAUGUGCUCUAGUGUUGGUGCAGUACAGAACGUCAUUAACGUACUGUAACAUGAGAUAAAACAUUAGAAAAAAGGCAGCAUGGGCUACAUGAUCCCUUAUGUAUUCAUUUUAAUACAGUGAUUGUUAGACGGAUUCCUUGGCUGAAAGUGGCACAUUCAAAUAAAACCCCGAAUAUCAUUGCUGCAUAUUUUCUGGAGUUUGUAAAAUAAUUAAGAGGUGAGCAAGAACAUGCCUUGCCAAGAAGUAAAUGCAGAAGUAUUAGACCUGGAGCAGCUGUAGAAACGAAAACAGAUAGAAAACAAGCGAAAAUGAAGGAGGUAAGACUGAUCCUAAAAUGCACACUAAUCCAACAGAUUAUAUGAAUUUGGAAGAGCUAUCGACAUCAAAGUAGGGAAGUGUGUGAUGAUGGAAACUGACAUCGAAACAGAAAAUUGUUCCAUCAAACAUUUAACGUUUUUGUUAAUAAGUGUUCGUUUAUAUCAUUGCACAAAUAUGCCCACAAGUGGUUAAACUGUAAUUUGUAAAUAUCAAUAGAAACCAGAUAAAAGCUUCUUUGUUA